GAACUGCGAUAACUGGUGUGAGUUGCACGCUUCUCUAAUCUAACACCAAGCGAAUCAUCGAGUCUUUGAACGCAAACGGCACCCUUCCAGUCCAUUCCAAAGCGGUGGCGGCGGAUGAAGACAAGGGUAUCUCUGGUUGAGUGCAAUGAAACUUGAUCCAGGUCGACGUUGUUGGCUCUGGGGAUUGAGCUUGCUCGCUUCGUGUGGGCUUGCUUCAAAAUCAUUGCGUGACGGUUGGGCUUUACGAACUGUAGGAAAUAUCGUGCAGCAUCGUUUGGGCCUCAACAAGAGCGACUAACAUACAUAUCUUUGUACGCGUUGCCUCAGAUCAGAGAAGACUACCCGCUGGACUUAA
rnacentral:rRNA from 1 species